ACUCAAAUGAAUAGACGGGGACCUGCACAAGCGGUGGAGCAUGUGGUUUAAUUCGAAACAAAGCGAAAGACCUUACCAAGGCUUGACAUGCUAGAUGCAAUCCGGUGGAAACACUGGGCUUCUUCGAGAGUUCUAGCACAGGUGCUGCAUGGCUGUCGUCAGCUUGUACCGUGAGGCGCACCCUUAAGUGGGUCAACAAGCGCAACCCUCAUCUUGUGUUAAAUUUCACAAGAAACCGCCCGCUAAAAGCGUGGAGGAAGGCGAGGAUGACGUCAAGUCAGCACGGCCCUUAUGCCUUGGGCUACACACAUCCUACAAUGGGUAUUUAACAGCGAGUCGCAACACGGCAACGUGAAGCUAAUCUCACAAAAGUACCCUCAGUUCAGAUUGGAGGCUGCAAUUCGCCUCCAUGAAGUUGAAAUCGCUAGUAAUCGCGGAUCAGCAGGCCGCGGUGAAUACGUUCUCAGGUCUUGUACACACCGCCCGU
rnacentral:rRNA from 1 species